rnacentral:lncRNA from 1 species
CCUUCCACCACGGGAUGAUGCAGCAAGAAGACCUUUUUCAGAUGGGCCCUUCUGUAUUUCCCGCCAUCCAGAACUCCAGAAAUUUUACUGAAAUGAUGGGAAAGACGAAAACAGAUGCCCAGAAUGGAUGUGUUAUGAUAACUGUUUUAAAAAAGUCUCUAUACAACCUGGUAUUUGAUCAACAAUUACAGUUAGUUAUCAAUUACACGAAAAGUGGAAGUGACUUUCAAUUGCACAAAAAGAUUAUUACUUAUGUACUGUCUUAUCGUAAUAAAAAUUUCAACUAUAUUAUUUAUUGUUCUCUCAAUAGCAGAGUAGAUUCUUAGAAACUUGAGUCGAGG